UGGGGGAUCUUAGACAAUGGGCGCAAGCCUGAUCUAGCGAUGCCGCGUGAGUGACGAAGGCCCUAGGGUCGUAAAGCUCUUUCGCCAGGGAUGAUAAUGACAGUACCUGGUAAAGAAACCCCGGCUAACUCCGUGCCAGCAGCCGCGGUAAUACGGAGGGGGUUAGCGUUGUUCGGAAUUACUGGGCGUAAAGCGCACGUAGGCGGACUAUUAAGUCAGGGGUGAAAUCCCGGGGCUCAACCCCGGAACUGCCUCUGAUACUGGUAGUCUAGAGUUCGAGAGAGGUGAGUGGAAUUCCAAGUGUAGAGGUGAAAUUCGUAGAUAUUUGGAGGAACACCAGUGGCGAAGGCGGCUCACUGGCCCGGAACUGACGCUCAUGUGCGAAAGCGUGGGGAGCAAACAGGAUUAGAUACCCCCGUAGUCC
rnacentral:rRNA from 1 species